GGCAGCCGUGGGGGCUCCUGGCAGCGCUGAGGGUAGUCCUGCUUGCUCUGUGUAUUGUAUCAGUCUGCAGUCCUCAGGGAAGUUGAUGUUCUUCCACCCAGAAGUAUUAACUUCUUAGAAGAAACUGACUGUUUUUUCCCUCUUCAAUCCCUUUCCAGCUCUCUCCCACUACUUCUGCUGACUUCUAGAAGCACUUACUAGCACCAGAAUUAUCACAGAAACUUCCUCCUGGCUAAUAUUACCAAGGAAAGACCCACACAUAACAGCUACAGUUUGUCUUCAUGGUAUCAUCCUCCUACAGCCAGUGGUACCACUGUGUGCCACCUGUGCAUGUCUGUUUUGGACAUCCUCUUCUCUUGGAAGGAAUCCUUCCUACUCAUUUUACCCUUCACUUCUCUUGGUGAUAUCAGCAUCAGUAUAUUCCCAAAAAAGUCAAUUCAAUGUGUGCAAAACAGGCUAGGUUGAAAUACAUGGAUGCUGACACAGUACUGCAAACCCCACAGAACCAAACCAGUAAUAUCAACAAGAACCAUCUGAUCCUAAUGCUGGGAAUAGCUGAACCCAUCUGCUAUGCUUUGUCUUGUCAGUAACAAAGUCUGGCAGGUCACUGGCUGCUCUCAGAGGAUGGACUCUGCUCUGCCACAAAGCAACAAGCCCCAGCUUGGACUUCUGGCCUCCAAAGAAAUUGCAGAGAGCUGGCUUGUCUCCGAGCUUAUAUAACUUUUAACAAACUAUUUUUAGGUGUUGGAUCUAGGUGAAUCAGCCAAACAAUCAAUGUAACCCUGUGAAAACAUUCUCUGAUUCAAAGAAAAACGCAUAGAAUAAAACAUCCUUGAGAACAUAAAUUAUGUUAUGUGGUAUUGUCAAUGCACUCAGGGACUGAUUCUGCUAGCCUGGCUCAUAGAGCAUCCAGGAAGCAUCGCUGUGGGUCUGAAGAGGACUGAUCAAUAAGGUACUUUUUAUGAGUGCAGGAAGUAAGCACAAAGCAGCAGAGGUAGUGGCAGAGUAAUUGUGUAGUCCCAAGGACUCUGAUCACACACAAAAUCUCAGCUCUAAGCAUAUGAAUAGGAGGUUUUUUUAUUAUUAUUAUUUUGGCUGGGGAUGGAGAAAUUUUACCACACAGCUUACUGAGCAAUGCUCCCACCAAAGUACAAACCAAAACCCAUUUGCAGAGCCAUUGGGCUAGAACAGAAGAAUAUUUUCCUUUGUAGCCAAGGCCCAACAUGCCAUCACCCAUUAUAGCACUGGAACCUCAGACAAGAAUAUAUUCUAUAAGAUGCAAUAUCUCAGAGACAGUCUCAGUAGUAAAACAGCAAUCCUGAAUGGCUAGUGCUGGGGUGCCAAGCAAGGUUUCAACAGCUGAUCAUGCCACUCAGUUAUGUUUGCUUCUUGGCAAACGUAACUUGGGUGAUGGGAGCAUGCACAGACUGUCCAGCUUCACACCUACUCUUUGAUGUCUCUGAGAGCAAUGCCCUCAAUCUGCAGGAACUUUGUUGCUGGUGGCACAGGGAUUAUAAGUAGACCAUAAUAUAUAUAAGACCAUAAUAUAUAUAAAAGAGGAUUAAAAUCAGGCUAAUAAGGAUUGGACUUUCUCUGCUUGUAUCUUCUGUAUUUUUUUUUUUUAAACACAGACUUUCUCUCAACAGCUGUGCUCCCCCUAAUGCUAGAAAAGGAAAACAGCCUUCUCCUAUAUGUCGUCUAAAAGGAGAUUCAAAAGAAGCUUCAUACACAGAUAUUUCCACACCCCAUGGGAGUUCUUAGCCUUAUAGUACACCUCCCAGGAUGGCUUGGCCAACAGAAGAAAGAGAAUCUCACCCUCUAGGCACAGCCCUAUGCUACUCUGUGAACUACUACACAGCUGCUGGCUUAGCAUAGAGAAUAGGUCUCAGCUGUGAUUCCAGGAGGAAAUCAUUGGGCCAGCCCCUCAAUAAUGGGAAAGGGGAAACUUUAACUGCUGCUCUACCAAAGGAAAAGAAAAAGAGGAAAAGAAAACCAAACCCCAAACCAAUGUGACCCAAACCUGGAGACACACACGGAAGUUACACUAUGAGGCUUCAGCUACUGAGUGUGUUGAAGACGCUCCCAUAUUAACAUGAAAAUAAAGUUUCAUUAAAGGAAAUGAGGUAAGGGUAAAUAUCCCUAGGCAUGCAAUGAAGCAGCCCCACAGAGCAACUGCAGGACAUGCAGCUGGGGCUCCAGCCUCCGUUCACUGGCUCUCCAAGCCCAUGGGAGAUGGUGGGAGCACGGUUACAUGGAGCUGAAAGGCCUUGCUGAGUAGGAGAUGAUCGGGCCAUGUAACACACAUAUGACUUCUCUCCAUCUGUGGGGUCAGGGUGAGCAGACCAACUAACACUCGUUCUGUCUGUAACACCCUCUGCCAGAAGCACAGAAGUUUCCAGCCAGUUAGUAAGGAAGCAAAGGAAAGGAGGACAGUAGAGACCUCUUCCUUACUCACUGCACUGAGUGGAGUCUUAAAAUCCCCAGUCUGUUUCAAUCACAAGCCAAAAUGAGCAGCUCUGCUGUUAACACAGUAGAGGGAAGAAGAGAAUUGAUGGGGCAGUUGCUGGGGAGCAGGUAGAAGAUGAUGGAUGGUAGCACAGGACACACUGUUGCUAACCUUCUCCCCAUCCCAAACAGGAUGAUAUCUGUCUGUCUCCAUUCCCAUCCAGUCCAGCCUUCACCUAUCUCAUUCCAGCAGCCAGGAGGCUGGGCCAGAAAAGCUUAUUGAGUGGACGAGACACUGUGCCUUUGGCAAUGGAGACAGCUUGCUGCUGGGCAUUUCUCACACAUCUGCUCCAGAGCCACCUGCUCUGGGCACCUUCUGAGCUCUGCUGCCACCAGCUGAGAGAAAACAAACAUUCUUAUGCUGUUUUGGUUAAUUUUAAACCAGUGAAAGCUGAUUAUUUCUUAGGAAGCUUAAUCUGUGGCUGCUGUCUAAAUUUAAAGGGAAAAUGUCGGUGUUCUACUUUAUAUAACAGAGAAAAGGAGUAAAUGGGAGGAAAAUAGAAGAAAAAGAAAAUCACAGAUGAGAGCUGUCCAUUUUUAUCCUUUUUCUUCCAACUAUCACUGUAGCCAAGAGCUUAAAUGCAAGUGCUCUAAAGCUCUUAGCAAAGUGUGGUCAGCUGUGUGCUAUCAACACUCCCCUCCUGCAGCUAACCCACUUGCACGCUGAAAAAAAAAAAACAUCUCUGAAUGUCCAAAGCAGUAAAUUUCAAAAGCAGGAGCAGCAGCCAAUAGAAAACCGUGGAAACUCUGAUACUUGUGACAUCAGAGAACAAAGGUUCAGCAAUACAUGUCACGCUGACUGCAUCAAGCCAUUUGCAAGAGAUGUACUUUGACCCCAAAUCCCAUUUCUUCACAUUUCGGUGUAUUAACUGAGUCAGAGCUCCCUCCCACAUACCUAUCUUCUAUCUCCAUUAGUACAUGGCAUUCUGCCACACAGGGAACUAAAUACGUUCACCCUCUUCAUCGGGUCACACAACAGCCCCAGCCGUUCCUGAAGCUGAGCAGCUCCCUGCUGCUGCUGCCACCCAAGACUCACACAGGCUGAAGCUGUUUCAGAGGCAGCAGACCUCAAAGUCAUAUUGAACAAAACCGAUCCAUUCCUCCUGUGAAAAUUACCCUGGAAAAGACAAGAGCGGGCAAGAAUGGUCUGCAGGUCUCCUAAAACAAUUUGAUGUGAGGAGCAGAGCUGGACUGAAAUGAGGGCAAUGUGAGGAGGUUGUCCACAUCCUUGCAGGCAGGGGACUUGAGGAAGGAUGGAACCUUAUCUGCAGCUGUUGCCUAUCUUGGCCCUCUAACAACAAGACCAGAGAGAAAAGAGUAAUACCUGCACUCUGAUUCCCCUUCUUCUGAAGAUGGCAAUCCCUCAGAUUUUCAGAUUGUUUUCAUAUCUCCCCCAUGUACCAUCACAGCAAAUAUUUGCAGGACAUGCAGCAAUUCUCUGUUUGACCUGUACUGAGCGGUUUCCUCCUUAGACUCAGAUCCUCCAUUCAGUCUCUCUUUUUUUCCCUAUUCUUUGCCCAUUACUGCAAGGUUGAAUGGCACUCUUGAAUCCCUUUGAAUUUGAUCUACAGGAAAAUGUUUAACAAGCAUGAGUUCUGGCAAAAUGGCACCAGCACAGCCUUGUAGGUCUAUAUAACCCCUAGGUGAAAAAGCUUAUGCCAAUCCCGGGGGGUUUAAAAUCAGUCUCUGAAACAGAGUUGAAUAAACUUAAGGGGACCAGCAGCAAUGUGGGUCCAGCCGUACUCAGUCCUGGUGCCUCACACAGGGGUGUGGAUGCAUGUUCUAGAACAGGCAAGAACUCUUCAAAGAACUAUUCGAUAAGUAUCACCCAGACAGGUCUGGAACAAGAUUGAUAGCAUUGUUGUUUGUGGCACAGAGCCAAGGAGUGUCCUUGCGGGCUUCCAAGCCAAGCCAGUGGUUCUGAUGAGAGUGAGAUCAUAAGCACAUCAGAAGCUUCAUGCCAUGGAGUGACAAGAAAAGAAAUCUACUGCAGAUAGACACCAUCAUCAGUAAGACGGUCUUGUAAAGGUUCAUAAGUUUCGAAGUGGUUUCCUUUAAGCCAUAUUUCUUUAAUCUGGAGUGGCAUGGGGCUGCCCCAGGAGCUAUGCUCCCCUGCAGACAUCCACACCUUCUCAUCCUCAGUGCAGCUGCCUUGUUAUCAGCAGGGCCCACAGAACUGCCUGCAGGGCAGCAGGCUGGUCACGUUAUCUGGCUGCCUUAAGCUGUCUCUUUCUGACAUAUAGCCUGUGUCUUUCCCUUCCAAGGAAGGGCUAACCCUUACUUGAAACGGUAAGACAAGUCUAGCAGUAACACCAGAGUCAGACCCAAUGAAUACAUCUAAAGGGAAACCUGGCAGUGUCAGGCAGCCAGGUGAGUCUGAAACCUGUACUCCGUUAGGUAAUACUGCCUGACAGAAGCUGCAGAUCAGGUCUAUUACCCACUGUGUGUUCGUAGGCUGUCUGGAGUCACAAGCACGGUGCAAGCCUCUGGCAGUGAGAAAGAGGGGUAGCCUGAGUUACCCCACAUACAGUGAGGUAACUGGUUCAGGGGAGGUGGGGGCAACCCAGCUGUAGUUCUAGCAAGAGCUGACAGGAUGAAGCAACUGACUGAUACCAGGAAGUGCUUAGUUCUGCAUAACUCACAUUAAAGCACAAACUGUUCUGUACUUCAUAGAAUAUGAGCCAUCACAUGCAAUAACACAUCUCUUCUCUCAGCCAAGUGUGUACCCACAGAGUCAGAGGACAGGAAGCACAUCCUUCUCCUGUUAGGGAAACCCGUCCAAAGAUAUGGAAGAUACAUCGCUGUGUCAUUUUUUCCACAGGGCCACAUCCUGUGGCAGAUAAAUACUUGCAGGGAGCCAUCCUGGGAUGGAUACCAUAGACUAUUGCUUACGGAAAUACGCAUUGUGAUUUCAUGUCCCGCUGGCCUCGCGUGGGCAUGUUUUAACCUGACUGGUAGCAAGAAGACAAGUAUGAGCUCACCCACAUGCAUGGCACCUGCAUUUCAGUAGUGGGGUGUACACCUUCCCAGAGUCCCUUCAAAGCAAUAGCGGCCAAUGCAAGAAGGACUAAAUCACACGUAAGGAGAAUUAUAAAGCAACAAAAAGAAAGGAGAACAAUUCCUAAUGGCGAUGAGAAUUUGGUCACACCAUCGGUGGUAUCUGACAGCAGAGCAACAGCUCGGACGGUUCCAGCAAAGCGUUAGGCAUGGAGUCAAAACGCCAGGGCCCCACCUGCUGUACCAGGAAGGACGUACAGCCAACAGGGCCCUUCUCUCACAGCUUGGCGGCCGGCCCGGCACGCACAGAGCUGGGACGACCUUACCUCCCGCAUGGGUGGAUGCUCGUUGUCUUCUAUCCUGAAAGAGUUCUAUCUCCUUACCCUGCGACAGUAACAAAAUUACAUUUAAAAGCUAUUAUUCUGAAGGCCUAAUAUUUUCUGGUCCUAUGGAGGCAGUAGGAUGGACACUCAUUGAGUUUCCCCUACUGGUAAAACUUGUGCUUCAACUGAAUUUGUCUGGGAAGGAAUUAAGUUUCAUUUCAGUAGACAGUAUGAUACUUCUAAUAAUCCCACCUGGGAAAGCUGCAGAUUGGGUCCAGGCUUUCCCUCCUCUGCAGACACUGACUUGAUCAAACAUGGAAACCUGAAAUUCAGGCUCAGCAGCAGAAGAGAUAUCUAAGAGGAAGCAGAUGAGAGGUUUUGUACAUAUCAGUAUUUAUCAUUAGCAGCAGUUCCUUCCUUUUUGGAUGUCCACCAUUAAUUGAUUUAUUCUGGAACAAUCAAAACGAUCUAACAAAAAUAAACAAAAAUGCCUUCCUCUUAAAGUGGAUCCAUCCUUCAUUCUUUGGAAUCCACUUUUUUUUUUUUUUCCUUCAGAUUUCCAAGUCCAACCAUUGUCCUCCAGGAUAGGCAAAAUGUUAAUCUGUGAGGUAAAAAAAAAAACAAAAACAGAAAAUAAAAAUAAAAAUCAAAGCAUCCUCACCUGUUGCUCUCACUUCAGUCUUCUUUCCUGUUGCAGAGAUUAGCCAAAAAACAAGAUCCAGCUGGAAGCACUUAUUCCUUUGAAAGCCAACUUUAUAAGAAAGAGCUACAGCAGCUACCUCAAACACCUGUAAAGUGGGUUGCUUCUUUUUUCUUUUUUUUUCUUUUCUUUCUUUUUCUUUC
ensembl:lncRNA